UAGAAUGAGCUUCGAUAAGGCUGCCUAAGA
rnacentral:piRNA from 1 species